GUCACUGAGGCCAGACUUCUUCUCACUAUAAAAAAGGAGAAACUGGACAAACAUAUGAAACAGCCAUUUCCGAAUACUGGACAAGAAGCAGUGCUGCAAUCCAGGAGGUAGGACAGGAAAUGAGCCCAACGCGGCCCUGGCUUUCUGCCAGGAGCCUCCUUUCCAGAUAGCGGCACAGAGGGUGUCUACAAAUAAAACCACACGAAGCCACACUGCUGAGAACCAAGGAUACGGAAAAAAUCUUAAAGGUUCACAGAUGGGAGACCCGAGGUCCACGUGUAUGGCCCAAGACAGUGAUGGGAGAAGGGGAUGUCUGCACCUGUACCUGACAUGAUUGAAUCCAGGCAACUCACCUGCUCGUUCAGCAGGACCACUGUCCCUUGUCUCCUCAAGAAGAAGGACUUUCCCUUUGCCCAGUAACAACCCAACCAGUGAGAAGCUGCAACACCCCAAUCAGCGAGAAGCUACCAUAACUCUGUACUCUUGCUCUUCUCCAAUUAACUCUUGUUCGGAAACAGCCCCUCCCAGUUUCCUCUUUUCCUCUAUAAAAGAAUGUUCCUCUCUCAUUCUCUGGACUUGCCGGUGGUUCGCCAUAGCUUGCUUGUUCUGAAUUGCAAUUUAUCUGCUAUUCCUGAAUAAACUCAAUUUUAC